rnacentral:rRNA from 1 species
UACGGGAGGCAGCAGUGAGGAAUAUUGGUCAAUGGACGCAAGUCUGACCAGCCAUGCCGCGUGCAGGAUGACGGUCCUAUGGAUUGUAAACUGCUUUUAUACAGGAAGAACACUCCCUCGUGAGGAGCUGACGGUACUGUAGCUACCC